rnacentral:rRNA from 1 species
UAGGGAAUCUUCCACAAUGGACGCAAGUCUGAUGGAGCAACGCCGCGUGAGUGAAGAAUCUUUUCGGAUCUUAAGGUUCUUUUGUUGGUGAUGAAGGAUAGAGGCAGUAACUGGUCUUUAUUUGACGGUAAUCAACCAGAAAGUCACGGCUAACUACGUGCCAGCAGCCGCGGUAAUACGUAGGUGGCAAGCGUUGUCCGGAUGUAUUGGGCGUAAAGCGAGCGGAGGGGGGAUGAUAAGUCUGAUGUGAAAGCCCACGGCUCAACCGUGGAACAGCAUAGGAAACUGUGAUUCUUGAGUGCAGAAGAGGAGAGGGGAAUUCCAUGGGUAGCGGUGGAAUGCGUAGAUAUAUGGAAGAACACCAGUGGCGAAGGGGGCUCUCUGGUCUGCAACUGACGCUGAGGCUCGAAAGGAUGGGUAGAGAAAAGG